GAGGGGUAACCUAUACGAAAAAAAAAAUGGGAAAUAACAUUACUAUUAUCUUUUGGCAGGUAGGCUUCCUUUAUAUUUUUCUCUAAAAACAGUACUAUAUAAUACAAACCAUUAUUAAAACCUUUAUUGAACUGCGAAUGAUAGAGAGUGAAGAAGAGAGGAAAAGAGGAAGAGAGUGAAUGACGGUGUAAUAGAGUGAGAGAGAAAUGGGAAAUGAGAGUCAGAGGGACGAGACCGAGAGGGAAAUGAAAAAAUGAAAAAGAGAGAUACUAUGACGGAUUUCUAAAAAUCAGUCAUAAUAUAUUAAAAAUUUUAUGACAAGUGUUCAAAAUGCGUAGUAAAAGGUUUUAAACUUAUUUAUAAAUUUGUCACCGUGUUUUAUAUUAUAACUGAUAUGUAAAACUAUGUCAUAAUAUGUCUUAGACUUAUUUACGAGUAUGCCACUGUGUUUCAUAUUAUGAUGGAUAUAUAAAAGUGCAUUAUAAUA
rnacentral:lncRNA from 1 species